rnacentral:lncRNA from 1 species
CUUUGAAGGCUUUGGUGUUGGCAGCUCCUGCUCCAUCAUCCUCUGCUGAGGCUGCUUCAUCCAAAUCAGCUGAUGAAGGGACUACGCUUAAAGAGAAACCUUCAGUCCCGGAAUCCUCGUCACAAUCAAUGGAUGAGCCACAUUCUUCUCAGGACGUCAACCCCCCAAACGUCGAACCAGAAGGUAAUACAUUUUUGAUGUUUUACCUUUGCUUGUACUAUUGAUUUUUGAUUUGUAGCUUUUUAAGUUCUGCAGAUGCUCCUAUGGGUUUGUCCGUUGUGGCAAAGUCUUCUCGCCCAAAUAAGGGGAAGUCCUCACAAGUGGUGGAAUCACAGGUGGUAGACUUGGUUGGGGAUAUGCCACCUCCCAAGAUUGCUGAUGAGGUAAUUUUUGCUUCACUUUUACUUCCACUUUAUUUACUGUAGUGAAAACUUUCAAUAUUGGCAAUUUUCUUUGCAAGAUGCUGAUAAGAUUGUGCGUUCCAUUCAGGAGUUGUUCACUUCCUAGUGGCAAGUCAAGACGUCUCACCCUGCUUCAACCAGUCGUCCUUCUGCUUUUUCAGAGGAAGAUAUGAAGUUCCUCAAGCAGUCAAUAUUUGAGUAUGUGUCCUUUAUGGAUAUGGACAUCGGUCAGGCUAGUGCUACCAAACAUAAGGAUAAGCUUGAACAUUUGAGUGCGAAGUUGGCGCAAGCACUGACACUUCCGUCGCUCAAACUUUCUGCUGAUUUUAAAGCGACGUUGAAAGUUGUCCAUUCCGAGAGUCUCUUCUUGCUGGCCAAAAAUGUUGAUUUGAAGGCCAAAAGUACUCAAUAUCUUCACGCUGUAUCUGAAAGAGAGUCUUUUCUUCUGGAGAUUAACAAAAUUGAGGACGAAUUGAAAGAAAUCUCUUCCGAAUUUACGAUUGAAAACUCUUUGAUGACCAAUUUGGCUGCACAGAUGAAGAAGCUUCAAACAAGGAUGGACGACUGCAAGGCGAGAAUGGCUGCUAAAAAACGUAAUGCCUCCCAAGGAAUUGAGUUAACCAAGUCUUUGGUCGAGCAGUACAAGAAGCUGGAGGUUUAUGAUAAUUUUGUGGCUGAAUUGAAUGUCACUUCUUCUCAGCAGAGCGAGGAUUGAGGGAGACUUAGGGAAAAAAUUCGUUCAGUUUGGGGCGAAUUGUAAUUAAGACAUCUAAUGCAUUAACUUUUCUUUUUGUAAUUUCGUAUUAACUUUCCCCUUGUAAUCUCGUACUGAUGUCCAUUGGUAAUUCUGAACAUACCAGCAGUCAUUAUUAUUAAUG